UUCCAGCAAUGAUAUUUAAGGGACUGGCAUGGAUUUAUCAAAGGGCCUACCCCCGUUCAUUGUACUAUGUUCUCAAUACGAUGCUGUUAAUGCUACUGGUAUUCCACAUCUUAUUGGUGGGUUCUCGAUAUGCUCACAUGAUAAUGAAACAGCUUAAGAAAUUAGAGGGAAGAGUGGGGGAAGGAUAUAAGAUCUGAUUCAGAUGAUGAUGAAUAGAUGGAAGAUGUCGUUACACAUUUCUGGAUCAAUGUUGGUUCCCAGGAGAUUAAUUCGACUUGUUUGUAGGUUUGUAUUUUUCAUUUGAUCGAUUAUUAUCAAUCAAGUGAAUAUUCUCUCUCUCUUAUUUUUAUAGUUGAUCAUUUUUUGUUGGUGUAGAGGAAAGAAGGUAGGACCAUCAAGCAUAUCUCUUUUUGGUUUCUUUUGGUGUACAAAUAAUAGGCAAUCCUGUAUAAUUUAAUUUUUCUCUCUGAUAAACCUUUGUUUUGAUAUUAGCCCCAUAUAUUGCAAAAUGGAAAGUGGAAAAAAAAAAAAAAAAGAAAAGCUAUUUUUUGAAUUUUUA